rnacentral:rRNA from 1 species
UACAGAGGGUGCGAGCGUUGUCCGGAACUCUGGGCGUAAAGGGCGCGUAGGCGGCCUGAUAAGUAGGGGGUGAAAUCCUGUGGCUUAACUGCAGGGCUGCCUCCUAGACUGUUAGGCUCGAGCACGGUAGAGGCAGAUGGAAUUCCCGGUGUAGCGGUGGAAUGCGUAGAGAUCGGGAAGAACACCAGUGGCGAAGGCGGCUCACUGGCCCGGAACUGACGCUGAGGUACGAAAGCGUGGGGAGCAAACAGG